GUGGAUAUAGCUCAGUUGCUAGAGUGCUUGCCUUGCAUGUACAAGACCCCUGGGUUCAAUCCCCAGCACCACA
rnacentral:tRNA from 1 species